rnacentral:rRNA from 1 species
CCCCUAGACGUUCUGGGCUGCACGCGCGCUACAAUAAUACGCACAGCGAGUAUCACCGAGCUCGAAAGGGCAAGGUAAACAAUAGAAAAGGUACUGUAAUGGUUAUAGAUCCUUGUAAUUAUUGAUCUUCAACGAGGAAUUCCUAGUAAGUAUGUGUCAUCAUCACGCACUGAUUACGUCCCUGCCCUUUGUACACAACGCCCGUCGCUCCUACCGAUUGGGUGAGCCGAUGAAACUCUCGGAUGUAGGCUAUUCAUAGCCCGCAGAAGAGAUUUGAAUCGUAGCGCUUAGAGGAAGGAGAAGUCGUAACA